rnacentral:sRNA from 1 species
AUUUUGCGUGAAGGAUGGCAGUGGCAUCCUUUUUUUGCUUGCCUAUAUGGCAAAAAAAGAUAUAACGUACAGCCUGACCUAAA